UUUUCUGUUCCACAUCCAUAGUUUCUGCUAAUCUGUCCUCCACCUCACUUAUUCAUUCUUCUGCCUCCUGUAUUCUGCUGUUAGCUGCUUCUGGUUAAUUUUUUAUUUCAGUUAUUGUAUUUUGCAUCUCUUCUUGUUUAAGUUUUCUAUCUGGUAUCUCUUUGGUCAGUGUUUCCUGUAAGUUAUCCAUCUUUGCCUCCAGUUUAUUUCCAAUGUCUUGCAUCAUCUUCAGCAUCAACAGUCUAAAGUCUUUUUCCUGGAGGCUAAGAAUCUCCUCCUCACUUAGCUGAUUUUCUGGGGUUUUUCCUUUCUCCUUCAUUUGAGUUAUAGUUCUCUGUCUUUUCAUUUUUAUAGGUUUUUGGUGUUGUGACCUUUUCACAGAUAAUAGAAUUGUAGCCUCUCUUACUUCUGAUGUGUGCCCCCCUGUGGCUAAAGUCAGUAUGGGGGCUUGGUGUAGGCUUCCUGAUGGGAGGGGCUGAUGCCUGCCCCCUGGUAGGUGGAGCUGAUUCUAAUCCCUCUGGUGGGUGGGGCUUAGUCUCUGGAUGGGAUUAGAGGCAGCUGUGUGCCUGAGGGGUCUUUAGGUAGCCUGUUAACUGAGGGCUGGGGCUGUGAUCCCACCUGGGUUGUUGUUUGCCCUGGGGCUUCUCAGCAGCUGGCUGACGGGUGGGGCCAGAUUUUCCCAAAAGGGCCCCCUCCAGAGAAAGGCACGUCUGCUGAAUAUUCCUGAGAGCUUUGCUUUCAAUGUCCUUCCCUCACAACAAGCCACAUUCACCCCUGUUUUCCCAGGAUGUCCUCCAAGUACGGCAUUCAGGUUUGACCCAGAUUCCUUUGGAGACUUUUCUUUGCCCUGGGACUCAGUGCACAUGAAAGUCUGUGUGUGCUUUUUAAGAAUGGGGUCUCUGUUUCCCCUAGUCCUGUGGAGCUCCUGUGCACAAGCCCCACUGGCCUUCAAUGCCAGAUGCUCCGGGGCUCUUUAUCCCUAUGCCAGAUCCCCACACAUGAGAGUUUGAUGUGUGGCUCAGAACUCUCACUCCUGUAGGUGAGUCUCUGUGAACCAUUUAGAUUCCAGUCUGUGCAGCUUCCCACCCAGGAGGUAUGGGGUUGUUUAUAUCAUGAAAUCACCCCUCCUACUUCUUGAUGUGUCCUCCUCUUUUUCUUCUAGAGUAGGGUGUCUUUUUUAAGAUUUCCAGUCCAUUUGGGUGGAGAUUGCUCAGCCUUUAGUUGUGAAUUUUGUUGUUUUUAUGAGAGAAGUGGACUCUAGUCCUUCUAUUCCACCAUCUUAAUCCUGUCUCCCCAGUGAUGUUUUUGACUAAAGCAUUGCUUCAGGACAACUGAAUGAUAUGAAACACAAGGAAGAGACUGCUGGCUGAGAGAUCAAUUAUAAAAUCUAUAGCCUGAACAAAAGUGGAGAUAUUUGGUGAAGCAUACAUCUAAAAAAGUAUUGUGGAAGUGAAAGAAAUUUACUGAUUGGAAAUGGGGGAAAAGCAAGAAAGGAAACCCCAGGGUAUAUUGAGGUUUUGAUCCUGAAGAGCUGGGAGAAGGGAGAUACAAUAGAAAACAUGGAAGAUAGACACUUUCGGUUGAGACCUCCAGACAUUGAGGUUCUUGUAGGUAUUGAGGUGGACUUGUUGAGCAAGUAGUUAAAAAUGAAACCACAAAACAAUACCUCCUUGGAAAAAUGUGCUACAUCAUAUAGACACAUUCCAAGGUCCUGCUCAUCCAUCCUUUCUUUCUUUCUUUCUUUCUUUCUUUCUUUCUUUCUUUUUUUCUUUCUUUCAUCUUUUUAGGGCCACACCUAAGGCAUAUGGAAGUUCCCAGGCUAGGGGUCCAAUCGGAGCUGUUGCUGCCAGCCUAUGCUACAGCCAUAGCAACAAGGGAUCUGAGCUGCAUCUGCAACCUACACCACAGCUCACAGCAAUGCCAGAUCCCUGACCCACUGAGUGAGGCCAGGGAUUGAACCUGCAUCCUCAUGGAUGCUAGUUGGAUUUGUUUCUGCUGCACCCCAAUGGGAACUUCUUCCAAUCAUAU
rnacentral:lncRNA from 1 species